rnacentral:rRNA from 1 species
GACGAACGCUGGCGGCGUGCCUAAUACAUGCAAGUCGAACGCAGUGGCGGACGGGUGAGUAACACGUGGGUAACUACCCAUCAGAGGGGGAUAACUAUUGGAAACGAUAGCUAAUACCGCAUACUGUGAGAUGGACCUGCGUUGUAUUAGCUAGUUGGUGAGGUAAAGGCUCACCAAGGCGACGAUACAUAGCCGACCGGGGAGGUGGAGCGGCCCCAAUUGGACUGAGGAACGGACCAGACUCCUACGGGAGGCAGCAGUAGGGAAUCUUCGGCAAUGGACGGAAGUCUGACCGAGCAACGCCGCGUGAGUGAAGAAGGUUUUCGGAUCGUAAAGCUCUGUUGUUAGAGAAGCGGUACCUAACCAGAAAGGGACGGCUAACUACGUGCCAGCAGCCGCGGUAAUUC